rnacentral:rRNA from 1 species
CCUACGGGCGGCAGCAGUGGGGAAUAUUGCACAAUGGGGGAAACCCUGAUGCAGCGACGCCGCGUGAGCGAGGAAGUAUUUCGGUAUGUAAAGCUCUAUCAGCAGGGACGAAAAAAGACGGUACCUGACUAAGAAGCCCCGGCUAACUACGUGCCAGCAGCCGCGGUACUACGUAGGGUGCAAACGUUAUCCGGAUUUACUGGGUGUAAAGGUGGCGUAGACGGCAAGGCAAACCAGAAGUGAAAGGGCAGGGGUCAACCCUGUACAUGCGUUUGGAACUGGGGGGCUAGAGAUCAGGAUAGGUAAGUGGAAUUCCUAGUGUAGCGGUGAAAUGCGUAGAGAUCAAGAGGAAUACUCAAUGCGAAGGCGACCUGCUAGAACAAAACUGACGCUGAUGCGCGAAAGCGUGGGGAGCAAACAGGAUUAGAUACCCCUGUAGUC